UGGCCCCUUAACUCCGAAGCUGGAACUAGUGAGAGAGACUGUGAGCAGGUGACCAGGCUUGCUGGGUCUUCGGUGGAGGCCAUUCCCUUAAGGGGCGGAACUCCAACCGAAGCAAAAAGGACUGUGGUCUGACACCGGUUGGGUCCCCAGCCAGAGGACUCUAACAGCAGGAAGAUGAAAGAGACUCCACCUGGACAGAUUCCCCCCAUCCCGGGGCCUGAACUUCACAGGUGGGGGUGGGGGAAGCUUCAAGCACUGGGGAUUCCCUUUGCCCUCUCUCUGACCUCCCUGCCCCCCUCCCCCAGCCUUGGGGCACCCUCAGCUGGCCAGCCCCUGGGGGAGGGGAGGGACCAGGACAACGAGCAUCUGUGACUGGGGUUACCCCCUGCCAGGGGGCACUGGGCAGGGAGUCACCAAGGGGAUCCCGCCCAGGGCGGGGGUGUGGAGGAUGGGCACUGGCGAGAACACACACAGGAGCUGGCCCAUCUGCUCCCUCCAGGGUCCCUGGGGACAAGACCUAGAUGAGACACUGAGGCUCAGAAGAACAGACUUGUCCAAUGUCACACAGCCAGAACGCAGGCUCCCUACCUACUGCCACUCCCCUCCUUUCCCUUCAGUCACCCUUAGCCACCCACUGCAGGUCUCAACACCUUCCUGGUCAGGAAAUCCCUUUUCACGUCUAACCUCCAUUCAUCUUACUACAAUGUGGGUGCCUCCGUAUUGGGUAGGAAUGGAGGCUGCCUUCAGAAGAGCUCAUGCCCAGAGAACCCACUUUUGUGAAUUAGUCUCAGAAUGGUUCUGGGGCCGGGAGCUGGAGGCUUACCCGGGGGCAUCUGGCCUCUCCUUCGCCCCAGAUCACCCCCUGUAGGCCACCCAUGUGGGCCUGCAUUGUGUGUAUCUGAGAGUGAGGUGUUUCUUUCUGAGUGUGUGUCUGGAUGUGCUUGUCUGUUAUGUGCCUGUGUCUCACCUGGAUGUUACCUCUGUGUGGUCAUGGUUCUGUCUGUCUGUCUGUCUCUCUGUCUGUCAGUGUACUGUUUGCCUGUAUUUAUCUGUUUCUUGACUAGCGUAUUGGUGUGUAGAGCUGUGUGACCCACUCUGUCUGCCUAUGUACUAGGUGCCUAUCUGUCUUGCUAGGUGUCUUUGUAUCUGUGUGGGCGUCUGUUUGUGUCUGUUCGGGAGUUUUAGCUGUCUGCCUAUCCUUGCCUGUCUGUCUGUCCAUGCUUAGGAAACAGGAACACAGAGCCGGGGAAGAGAGCAGAGGCAAGAGCAUGGCUCCCAGGUCCCUCGUCGUCACUGAGCUUGGUGCUGAUCCGGCCCCUGUGGGACCUUGUGACUCACUGGGUCCCUGGCCAAAAAGGAGAGGGAAAGGGCAGGGCUCUGGGGGAGGGCCUGGAGCCCCACUUUCCUUUUCCAUGGCCCCACCUCCUUCCUGGUGACUCAUUCUUGUCCUAGGGCCUGGGGUGGAACAACAGUUGAGGUGGUGGCAGCAGGCCUUACUCUCAGAGCCCUUUGGCCUCCUGGGAGGCAGGUGGCCUGCAGCUCCGCAGUGACUCUGUCCUCCCUCACUUGUGACCCUGGGCCGACACGGCCCCUCUCUGGGCCUGGGUUUCCCAUGUGUACCUGGAUGCUCCAUUUUGAUGCUCUUUUCUUUCUACAAAGGGAGGUGAAGCUAAAAAGGGGCAGUGACAUGCCCAAGGUCACACAGCAGAGAAGAGGUCCAGGCCUCCUCUCCUCUCUGCGGGAGUCCCGCGCUCCCCCCUACCCAUCCCGCUUCCCCAGCUGCUCUGGGUGCUCAGAAAGGGCCAUUCUCCUCUGGAAGCAGAGCAGGGCCUCCUGGAGAGACAAAGACCCAUUGUGCUCUGCUCAACCCAGGUCUGCGGCCCAGGACCCACUACUCGAGUCUUGGGGACUCAAGGAUUUGGAUCCCAAAUGGCACCCCAGUGAGGGCUGAGGGUCCCUGUGGUCAGCUGGACCUGUCCAGAGCUUGCAGCAGUGAUGCCUGGAGCUGAAUCCGAGAUCUAGGCCAGGCCUAAUGUUGUCCGUGUUGGGCCCUGUCGGGACAUGUCAGGCUUCCUGGAGCCCGUUGGGCUGUGUUAUCAAAGCAUUGCCCCUGGGGCCGUGUGACAGAAUGUGGCACUACUGGAGCAUGCGGAAGCUCGUGAUCGAUAAGAUUCGGGGCCACGUGGAAGUAUGUUGUCCUGUGGAAUGCUUUACUGUUUGAUUUUCUCAUUCAUUCCACAAUAUUCCAAUAAAUAUUUAUUGAGCAUUUACUAUGUGCCAGGCUCUGUGCUAGAGGCUAAGUGUUCAAGGUUAAGCCAGACUGUUCUAUUGUCUUCAAGCUAAUAGGAAGACAGACAAAUAAACAAGCAGACAAACAUAUCAAUCAUCAUUCCACCAGGUAAAGGACUAUGGAAGCAGUGCUCCUGGCUCAGGAACCUGGAGUGAUGUGAAGGUCAAGGGGGUCUCAGAGAGAGGGUGACUUUUGAGUUGAGACCAAAAGACAAGAAGGAGGACCAUUCCUAGAGUCCAGGGGAGGGUGUCCCAGGAAGCCGGGUCAGCAUGAGCCAUGGCCCUGGGGCCUGGCAUAAGUUGGUCUGUUUGAGACACAGAAGGCAGCCCAGAGUGGCCGCGCUAUGGUGAACGAGGGGCGCAGAGGAGCAAGAUGAGGCUGGGAGGUGGGCUGGGCAGCCCAUCAUGCAGGACCCUCAGGCUGUAGUCUGGAGCUGGAAUUGUCUCCUGAACAGGUUUAAAGAGAUUUAAACGUGGCACUGAAAUCAUCUGAUUUACACCUGCCUGCUCUGUAGAGGAGGAUGACCACCAGGUAAGAGUGGAUUCAGAGGGGCCUGGUAGGAGGCGGUGGUAUAACCCAGGCUAGGGGUGCUGAGGCUUGAACAAGGCUGGUGGCCAUGCAGAUUGUGCGAAGCAGGCCUGCUGGGGACCUGUUCUGGAGGUGCAAGUGGCAGGACUUUCUGAAGGAUCAGAUGUGAUGGGUGAGAGAGGCGAGGAAUUGAGGAGGACUUCCAGGUUUCUAGCCUGGUGGGUUGAAGACAGCCGCAAAAUCUCAGCUGCUUAAAAAAAAAAUCUAUGCUGUUCGCCUCCUCAGAGUCCAGGCAGGCUCAGGGACAGCUUGGCCAAUGAGAUCUACAGAGGCGUAUGAUGGUUUCCAGCUCAGACUGGAAAAGCAGGAGACGGACAGAGCCUGGGACACUCCUCUGUCAGAAGUUCGGCCGAGAGGAGGGGACAGUACAGUAGACUGAGCAGUCUGGGAGGAAGGAGGGGGACCAGGUGAGAGAAGGGCCAGGAAGCCAAGAGAAGAGAGUGUUUUAAGAAAGAGGGGUAGUUGCCUGUGCGGAAUGCUGCCCAGAGUAAGCCGAGGACAGAGACGUGUCCACUAUAUUUGGCAGCAAGGACAUCAGGGCAACCUUGAUGGUGCAGUCUUAGUGGAAGAAUGAGGACAGAAGCUGACUGGUAUGGGUGGAACAGCAAAUAGGAGCCAAUGAACCAGAGAGAACAACCGUUGGCAACUUUUAGAAAGUCUUAAUGCAAAGGGAAGCAGAGAGAUGGUGCUUUGGCUAGAAUGAAAUAGGGUCAAGCGAGAGUUUUGUCCAAAUAUGAAGAAUAUAAUACCGUGUCCCUGUGCUGAUGGCCAGGAAUUGGGGAGGAACUGACGGUACAGAGAGAGAGGAGAUCACCCAGGAUCAAAGUUCUUGACAAAGUAAGAGGGAGGGGACCCAGAGCACAGGAGGACAGAGCUGGCCUUUGAUAGGGGCAGGGAUAGUUGUCUGGGAGGCAGAGGAAGAGGAGGUGGAUUUGUAGAACUAGCCAUGCAAAGCUCAGGGAAACUCCUCGGAUGGUUUCUCGUAUUUUUCUAUGGAGUGGAAGCAAGUUACAGCCAAAGCGAGACAGGAAAAGAGGGGGGGAGGCAGAACCCAGGAUUAGAUGUGAAAUAGUUAUCACAACCAAGCCCACUGGAGAAACAGAGUAGGAUUUCCGGCAGUGCGGAGCGACCAUUCGAAGUUGCUGACCGUGAAUUUGUAACGACCCUGGCCUGCCAGGCUAUUUGAUAGUGUGUUUUCUGCCCUACAAUGGCGUGUGCCAAGCAUGGGCCUUUCCCAGGUAAUCCAAUUAUCUCCAUUGACAGAUGAGCCAGUCAAGACUCAGAAAGACUUCCUGGCUUGCCCAAGGUCGCACAGCUGGUAGGGGCAGAGCAGGACCUUGGGCCCAACCCCUGAACGCCUCUGCAGAGGCCAAAGCUGUCCAAGGUCUAAGUAGACUAUCUUACUUGGUAGUGUUCGUGGUCGCCCGUUGUGGAUGCAAGUGAGGAAACGCAGAAAAGAGAAACACAGCUUUCCCUUUCCUGUAAUACUUCUGUAUGUUGGUGCUUGGGCCAGUUGUGUACAAAGGGCCGUGAGGGCUGCUUCUCUGUAAAGUGUAUUUGCUGAAUAACCACACCAUUUCUCCAUCUCUAGCGAUAGCUAAAUUGCUAGCUUCUUUCAACCCUGGUCCAGGAGUGCCGAGACAUUUGGGGUUAACGGCUCCUCCCCAUCUCUUAACUAUCUGCCCUUCUUCGAUUCAGUGUUACUUUCACUUAGAGAGCUCUCCCAGGAACACUAAGCUUGGUGUUAUCACCAGCAAACAUCUUAGAAAGCUGGUCUUCCACUGCCUGUUUACAGAAGUAUUUCCACACCUUGCUUGUGUUUCCAGGAAUUCCUCAUCUUCCUGGCCAGGAAUAUUAACAGACAGGUCUUGAAAAGUGCAAGAGGCUUUUUCUGUGGCUGCAAGCACAUUGAACACUUUUUCCUUUUAACCCCUAAGCAGUAAGUAACGAAGUCCCAAAGGUUGGGUAAAAACCAAUCUGAUAGAAAGAGUCACUUUUAAAAACUACAUCCUCAGGGGGAAAAACUGUGAUGUGACCUUAGUGGUUCUAAGGGGUUAAAUGGAGCCCCAUCCACCCACCCCCAUCAUGUCCAAGUCCUGACCUAAGACCUAGACCUGUGACUGUGACCUUAUUUGGAAAAAGAGUCUUUGCAGAGAAAUUAAGGAUCUUGAGAUGAGAUCAUCCUGGAUAUAGGGGAGUGAGGGUGGGGUGCUAAAUCCACUGACAAGUGUCCUUAUAAGAGACACACAGAUGCAUUGGAGGUGGCAGUGUGACCAAGGAUGCAGAGAUUAGAGUGAUGUGGCCACAAGUCCACAAGUCAAGGAACCCCUGAAGCCACCAGAAGCUGGAGUAGGCAAGAAGCAGUCUCCCCUAGAGCCUCCAGAGACAGAAUGACACCUUGAUUUUGAACUUCUGGCCUCCAGAACUAGCCUGGGAGGCCUGACAUCUGUGUGUCAAUCAGUGUGCCAAGUUCAAGGCUGCAUGCGGAUGGAGCCAGCACCAAGCAGCUUGUGUUGGCAGAAGCAGAACAAACUGGCUCACACAAAUCGACUUAUCACAACAUGGUUCAAGCUCUCAUCGGCAGUGACUGAACCUACAUUAAGGUUCAGAGCACAGACUCAGUGGCCGGAUGGAGUAGGUUCAAAUCCUGGCUCCACCUCUCAGUGACUCGCAAGCUUCUUAUACUCUCUGGGCCUCAGUUUCUCCACAGGUUCCAAUGAGGACACCGAUAACAGUCCCACUUGCAGGGUGAUUGUCAGACUUGAUCAGUGUAAAGCCCCUGGACUUGACCAUGCUGACAUAUCACAAGUGCGAGAUGAGUGUCUGCUAUUAUUACAAUAACCCAAAUCAAAACAGGCACAAAUGAGCUCAGAAUAAUCGAAGAGAUGUAAAUAUGCUAAUGGACAGGAGGGAAGGGGACAGGGCACAACCAUGAAAGGAAUGACACAGCAAUUGAAGAUUCAACUCCCUGGAGACCUUGAGGCCCAAGAUGGCGGGAGAUUUGACUCCCAGUAGACCUUGAGCUUCACUGAAAUCUCACUGUAAUACAUUGGCAUGAGAAAUGACACUCCACAGGCACUGUGAUCGGUCUGAGGCUGGCUAUAAAAGAUCAAAAAGUGGGCAGUGGCCCAGUUCUUGGGCGUCCCUGCCCCUUCCCCAAAGUAGUUAGACUGAUCCUCCCACUUGUUAGCAUAUGAAGUUUCUAAGCCCAUGAAAACUAGCAACACUGCACCUUGUGGUCGCUCUCUCUUGCCUUCUGAGACGGCCGGCAUGCUAUGGAGUGUGCAUCUCUCUGAAUAAAUCUACUUUUACUCAA